UACGGGGGGGGCAAGCGUUGUUCGGAAUUACUGGGCGUAAAGGGCUCGUAGGCGGCCAACUAAGUCAGACGUGAAAUCCCUCGGCUUAACCGGGGAACUGCGUCUGAUACUGGAUGGCUAGAGGUUGGGAGAGGGAUGCGGAAUUCCAGGUGUAGCGGUGAAAUGCGUAGAGAUCGGGAGGAACACCGGUGGCGAAGGCGGCCAGCUGGCGCUGACCUGACGCUGAGGCGCGAAGGCAUGGGGAGCGAACGGG
rnacentral:rRNA from 1 species